rnacentral:lncRNA from 1 species
GGAUGUCAAAGAGAUAAAUUGUUAAUUUUGAGAGGCUGCUGACAUUUGAUGUAUCCAACUGGAGGUGUGCAAACCUCCUAAUUGGAUAAUAGUCUUAUUAAAAAAUAUAUUUUUUCUUUAUAAUAACGGAGAUCGUAUCAACUUAUAUGUAUCUUGAUAAUUUCAUCAGAUGCAUGUGCUUUUAUCAACACAAUCAUAGUAAUUGCGAAAUUAAGAUUUUUA